rnacentral:rRNA from 1 species
GUGCCAGCCGCCGCGGUAAGACAGAGGGUGCAAACGUUGCUCGGAAUUACUGGGCGUAAAGCGCGUGUAGGCGGACCGGAAAGUCAGAUGUGAAAUCCCUGGGCUCAACCCAGGAACUGCAUUUGAAACUUCCGGCCUUGAGUGACGGAGAGGGAAGCGGAAUUCCUGGUGUAGAGGUGAAAUUCGUAGAUAUCAGGAGGAACACCGGUGGCGAAGGCGGCUUCCUGGACGUCCACUGACGCUGAGACGCGAAAGCGUGGGGAGCAAACAGGAUUAGAUACCCUCGUAGUCC